UUAAACUUGAAUAGGAAAAAAAAGGCUGCAUAACAACAUCACUCAGCCUCAUACUGCUGCUGAGCAGUAAGUGAUAAAAAGUUUUUUAAAUACACAGUGAAUCUACACUGGUGCUGAAAACAAUAUGGAAAAAACUAAAAAAUACUUUAGUUUGAGGCAUACCGUGAAACUGUCUGUUCAAGCAUUUGCCGACUAUGGAAAUGUGACGCAGCGUUCAUCCAGCCAAUCAAGUCAGCAUAAUCUUAGUCCAAACCAUUCAAGUACGUCUGUGCAUCUUGUGCAGAGUGGAAAGAGUGGUCAGACCCGUUAUGGGUGAAACAGAGGUUAGAAGGGUAGCGCAUCACAAAGCGGACACCUCUUUGAAUAAGCUGUCCGCAGACGUCGUUGUAUGCCCGUCUAGCCUCUCUAACUUUAACUGACAGGUCCUGCGUGAUGAGAAUGCCACUUCCCUCAUGUGUGAGAUGUUCCUUCUUCUUUGCAGCAGCCAAGAUUUUAGUCUUGUCCGAGUAGUUGUGAAGCUUAAUCAGCACAGGACGUGCGCGGUUGGGUUUAAGCGGACCCAGUGUUCUAUGCGCCCGGUCGAUUUUAAUAGUGCCAUGUUUGGUUUCAAUCUCCAGCAGCUUGGGCAGCCAGGUUUCAAAAAACUUAACAGGUUGGCGACCCUCCGCGCCCUCCUUUAAACCAAUGAUACGAAUAUUGUCCCGCCGGCUGCGAUUUUCGGCGUCUUCUGCUCUCUCCGAGAGGGACUGUACAGUUUUUUCCAGCGACGAUAUCUUGUUGUGAAGUUCCGCCAUUUUAUCCUCGGUCCGGGAUACACGGUUUUCCGCCUCCGUGAUACGCUUUGUGUUAUCCUCUAAUCGGCUUGUAAUUGUAUCCAACGUCGACUCGAAACGAGCGAAUUUCUCGUCCAGGAAAGCGGUUAGAUUAUCAGUUACAGCCUGCACCAGACUGGACUGUACAGCUGAAGAACCGCCAUCUUUGUUACUCUGAUUAGUAGGCGGUUGGCCUUUUGCUGUCGUGCGGCCCCUUCUAGUUUCUUGUUGAGAAGGCGUAGGACCUGAUCCUGACAUGUUUACGGAUUGGAUAAUAAAGAUUUAAGAAAACAACCACGUAGUUUAAUGUAAAAAUGAGAAAAUAACGCGAUGGUCGCGGGAGCCCGGCGAAAACGUGCCACUUAGAGCAAGAGCAUCACGUGACUCCCGACGCCCUUGUUUUUAAACACUCUCCGUGUGUCUCAUUAGUUUACUAGCUCAUAAAUCAGUCUGUGAAUCCCCAAUCGGAAGUUAUUAUUCUGUCAAAGAUCAGCGCUCUUGGAUGUUACGUUAAAGUUAAUGGGAGUAAUGUCUUGUCACAUCGUGUGGACGAUUAACACUUGGAAAGAGGAAUAUAAACACUCGUUUUUUUCUGGAGCUAUAUCUCUUAUCAGAACGCGAAAACACCGUGGAACUGCAGGUAAGCACCGCAGCUUUUAAAUGUAGACAUUGAUCAUUUACUUUAUCGUGACGUGACUAUUAAAACAUGUUAUGAGAUAUCGCCACUGGUAUAUUUAUAAGCAGCAUGCAAAGCAUCUCUCUGACACUUAUAAAAAACCGUUUUAUAUAGUACUGACAAGAACAAAGUUAAAUAAGAAUCGAGUGCUCGUAUCGCGUUAAGAGUAAAUGGGUAACCAAUAGUAACAUUAUAUAAGUGUAGUUUUAUUAACUUUUACCUCGCGCCAAAACAAUAACCACACAAAAGACACUAAAUAUGAAUAAGAAAACAAGUAAUAGUUUUAUCAUGACAUCUUACUAAUCGACUGUAGAUUUAAAUAUAAUAAAUAUAUAUUCUCGACUGAACUAAUCUUAAAACUACACUUUGUGACCAAGAAACGUUAAUAUAAAGAAACGCCAUUGAGUUAUUAUGAGAUUCAAAGCAGCCGAAAGUGUUACCUGUCAUUCUGGCAGCCCUCAAAUCCGUGGCGGAAGAAGUAGUUCUCAAACAAAGAGGCUUUUAAAAUAACUCCGUUGUUGUUUUCUAGUUUUCGUUUUUCAAACGUGUGCCGUCGAACUGUUGUAUAAAAGCAAUAUCGCUCUCGGAGUCGUGUGAUAUAGCUCUAUAUCAUCACGGCUGUGAUUGCCUCCGGCACUCGGCCUACGGCCUCGUGCCUCUGGCCUAAUCACAGCCGUGAUGAUAUAGAGCUAUAUCACACUCCUACUCGAGCGAUAUUGCUUAAAUGACAUUCUCCCCAUUACUAUUUAAGGGAAAUAAACAUUAGCUCAAAAGUAAAGUUCUUCUAAUGGACUGCAAUCAAUUAUAAGUAUGUGGAUCAAUCAAAUGAGAAAAGGGAAAAUCUUGAAUCUCACAAAUGUCUUAUGCCUGGCUCACACUACAGGAUUUUUUAAAUCCUGGCAGAUUAUGAAAUCUGGUUGCAGCACACACAUAAGGAGAUUCUUGUCAGUUAUUCUUCUCUUAUAUCUUAAACGUGCUCACACUACAGGAUUUUAAAAUCCUAGUGCAUCAUACACUACAGGGUAUAAUUAAAAUUGUCUUACCAGAGCAAUCAUUUCAUGUCACCUCAGGGGAAGAGGAUAUAAAGGGAUGGAGAUUGUCACACAUUUAUUAUGUUUUUUUUUAUACUUUUAUUUGCUAACAGCUUUCUACACUUACCCGGUGUAUUUGAAACCUAGGCAAUUUCUCCUCCUCAGCUCUUGUUUAUGAGGCAAUGAUCAUGAUAGUUUUAAGGAUGUGUUAUGAUUCCAGAAGUAUGUCCAAAAAAUUCAGGAAUAUAUAUAAAAGGAUUAAUUACGCUUUCUCGCAGCCCUAAUUGUGCUGCGCCUAUUUGCCUGCAUGCCGGUGAACAGCAAAGCACGCAUGAUGACUAUAAAUUACUUUUAUGGUUAUUUUUGGUUAGAUAAAAACUUUUGCUUCUGUAAUCUCUAAAACAUGAUGCAUUUUCCUGCGUUUUUGAGCGUUUAACAAAAAAUCGCAAACUUUAAAUUUGUUUUGUUAAAGGGACACUCCACUUUUUUGAGUCAAACAUUUGACUGAUCUCCGGGGCUGGUGGUACCACUUUUAGCAUGGCUUAGCACAAUUCAUUGAAUCUGAUUAGACCAGAAGUAAUCAACAAAAAUAAUCUAUGUUCUUGCCCACUGCAAUUGCCCCUCUCUUAUUGAGAAUCAUGGAAUCACGGAAAUGUUCUGGGACCAAAGUGCUGUGUGAAUGAGGUUAUGAAUAGUUUAUUGUAGGUCAAUAUUAUUUAUUGUCUGUUAAACAGAGUGCAUCCAAAUUUUGGUCUGUAAUGAUUUGGUCUCAUUGAUAAAAGGUUAUUUAUUGGUAAGCAAUCUAAUUUUAAGAAUACCAAAUUUUAACAUUUGAGUUUAAUAUAUUGUUUUCUAAUUUUAUAUUAUUCAGAUUUGUACGAGAUGAGGUGUAUGCGUUUUUAUGUACACUGAAAAAAAUGGACUUGGUGGGUCUUUGAAUUUAAAUAAAAUAAACAUGUAUAUGCAACACAAAAUAUUUAUAUUCCUUGUGUAAACAUAAUUUAAUUGAUUAGGAUGAAAAUGUUUUGUUUGAAUGUAAAAUAAACACAUUAUUCUCACAUUGAUUAAAAUUGAUUGAAUUGAAUACUUAAAGCAAUAAAAUUGAGUUUGCACACAAAAUGGCACCUCCUGAGCAGAAGGUGGCAGUAACGCUCAAUAAAAAGGACGUCAAUCGCCAUAAAAGAAGAAUAAACAUCGUUUGUUUUGGGCGCCAAAAUGAAGACUCAGCAGCAGUCAGUCAGAAGAACUCUCUCAGACGGACACCACGUUAUUAAAGUAAGUUCUAUUAUUUAUUUAUGUUCACUUUAUACGUGAUACAUCUUCACUAGAUAGACAGUUUUUUUUACAAUAUGUAGCCAUUGCAAUGACUUGUAGUAAAAAUGAGUUUGGAGGAUGUUGGUGGAGUAAGUUAACGUUACAGUCAGUCAGUCAGUCAGUAAGUGUAAGGCUCAUAAAGAAAAACAGCGUUUUAAAAAUGUCAGCUGUAUAACGUUAUUUCACGUUUGGUAGUUUUAUCCGAGUUGAAAACUGACAGAUUUGAGUUGACUUUUGAGGCACUUUUUACUCAGUUGUUCUAUGGAAACGGUUCAGGACAAAUAAAACGCUAACCAAACGUUAUUCUGUCCAGAGUAACGUUAUCCAUGUAAGUAAUUUACCAGAUGAUAUCAAUUGACUACAUUAAUAAUGACAUUGCGUAUGAAACAAACUGUCUGCUUAAUCAGAUGAACAGACCCGCGUCAGUUAUUCGUGACUUCGCUACGCCACGAGCAACACUUGAUUCUAUUAGAAAAAGCUUUUUUAAAUGUCUCGCGUGACUUCUGGUAUAUUAACUGAAAAAAAAAUGCUUUAUAGUGCCACACCUUAAAGCUGACGUUUUCAGAAGAGAACCUUGUUGUUUUAAGAUCUAAUUUUGUCCAAAUUUUGUAUGACAGAUAUAAUACUUAAUUCAUUAUUGCUCUGUGUAUGUGUGACCUUCAUCAUUUGAGUUUAUGUGUUGAUUUCACCUCUGAAUUUUUCCUCUUAUAGGUCCAUCAUCCUUGCAUGCGCUACACACUCAAAAGCAUUGAUAAAUGCUGAAUUUAAAAGAAUCACUACUGUCUUAUGUUCCUGUGUCACCUGGACCUCCAAUCCAAAAACCUGAUGAAACUCUUCUAUCAGAAAGGAGGACAGCUAGCAAAAAGACUUGGAACAAUCAAUGAUCAAAUGACAGAAGGCAUGGAUAAAGUCAGCAUCAGCGAGGUCAUUUGAAGACACCACUGUUGGGAUUUGUGCUCUCAAACAACAUCCUUCUUGUGAUGAAGAAGAGGAUCUUUGUAUAGUCCUGGAAGGCAUGAAGGUGUUGCAACAUCGUGCCAUGUUGUUUGAGCUGAUGUUUGCCUUAAACCUGAGCUAUCCUGAUCUCCGCUUUAUUUUUGAGGAAAUCCAAAAGAUUUUAAUGGAACUGCAUUGACCGUAACUUUAACGAACAGUUUCUUUCAGUGAAAGGAUCAGAAAGACUGUGCUGCUCAUUUUAGUUAUCUGUUUUAAGUGUUUUCUCUUAUUUAAACAUUAACAGUUUGCUGCUCAGAGUUGAUUUUGGAAAUGGUUGUUGUAUUUUGUUUUUGUUGAAUCUUUGAUUAACAGUUUAUACAACUGCUGUAGCUCUGACUUUCUGAAGGAUUGAUAUUUUCCAGUUUGUAAAUCAAUUUUAAAAAUAAUAGUACUUACUGUUUUGCAUGUCUCUUUGGAAUGCAGUGUUUGUGUUUUAGCACUUCUAAAUCUACUGUGAUAGUAACUAUUUUAAACAUUUGGGUCAGUUUCACAGAUGGGGCUUUUCCUAGUCCCAGACUUUUGCAAUGCCUUAAUUUGAAAACAUAUUGCACUGACAUAUCGUGACAUAUAUGAGUGCCAUUGUUUUGUCUCAAGAUGUACUCCAGUGUUGUUUUUGUAAGGUAGGUUUGUUUGUAAACUUUUUUUUGUAAAAAAUAUCCUAAUAUAACUAGGGCCUAGUCAUGGAUUAAUCUACAACCUGUCUGGGAAAUUGCCCCUUUGUAUGUACUGCAUGUGCUGAUUGUUGUAAUAGUUAUUGACUGUUAAUGAAUUAAUGUGUAAUGAUGUCAUUGAAUUGAUGAUCUGAAAGCAGUGGUUUGCCUCAAUAUCACUAAACAUUUGUUCAAAACUCUUUGCUUUUUAUGCCAAUGCAAAUGUAUUUUGUAUUUAAAAAAGAAAUAAAUAACAUUUGGAUAAUUAUGGGUGAUUAUUCUGGUGCCAGAGACAUAAUGAAAUUGUUUUAGAGUUAAAUAAUCCCAUAAUAUAAGCAUUAAAAAAGCAUGUUGGAAUUACAGAUGAAAAUCUAGUCCCCUUACAUAAUAAAAUUACUUAAACAUUACAAAAUAAAUGUGUUAUAGGAAAGAGAAAUAGCACUUUGAGUCAACAUAUUUAUAUUAGACUACCUAAAACAAUUAAAAUGUUUUGGUCUGACACACAAAAAUUAAAUGAGGAAAAUUAUGUUGGUUUUACACAAUCGGAUUAUG